rnacentral:lncRNA from 1 species
CCCAGCAGCAACAGCAGCAGCAGCAGCAGCAACUUCCUGCUCUCCCACCCACGCCUCAGCAACAGCCACCCUUGAAUAAUCACAUGAUCUCACAGGCAGAUGACCUCAGCAACCCCUUUGGACAAAUGAGCCUUAGUCGCCAAGGUUCUACUGAAGCAGCUGACCCAUCUGCAGCUCUAUUCCAGACCCCACUUAUCUCCCAGCACCCUCAGCAGACUAGCUUCAUCAUGGCUUCCACGGGUCAGCCCCUCCCCACUUCCAACUAUUCCACCUCUAGCCAUGCACCACCUACUCAGCAAGUUCUGCCACCCCAGGGGUACAUGCAGCCCCCUCAACAGAUCCAGGUUUCUUACUAUCCCCCUGGACAAUAUCCUAACUCCAACCAGCAAUAUCGACCUCUCUCUCACCCGGUGGCCUAUAGCCCCCAACGUGGUCAGCAGCUGCCUCAUAGCUGGGACUACAGGUGUGCGCCACCAUGCCCAGCUAAUUUUUGUAUUUUUAGUAGAGACGGGGUUUCGCCAUGUUGGCCAGGUUGGUCUCGAACUCCUGACCUCAUGAUCCACCUGCCUUGGCCUCCCAAAGUGCUGGGAUUACAGGCGUAAGCCACU